GAGAACAGAGUUGGGCUCUCGCGAGAGCUCAUCACCCUCCACCGUGCUCUGCGCGUGUGUUGCUAGGUGUGGCUGCUUCCUCGACGUUCAAGCGUGGUUUUGAGGUGACCCUCGGCUCCGGUGACAGUUUCCAAGGCAAAGGACAUGAGUUAGCUGGUUAACUGUCCUAACAGAUCUGACUGAGGACUGGAGAGAGAGCUAAGUGAUGAAGAGCACUGGACACUUUUGCAAAGGACCUGGGUUCAAUUUGCAGCACCUGCAUGAUGGCUCACACAAUUCUAUCAUGGCAGUCCUUCUGACCUCUGCAGGCACAGCAUACAUGUGGUACCCAGACAUACAUACAAGCAAAACACCCAUAAGCAAAAAUACACCCCCAAGUUAAAAAUAUGACACAUUCCUAAAGGCAGUUCCACUGUCUGAGUCUCCUGAAUACUGGCAGUACAGACUUGUGCCACCAUGCUCAAUGCCAUUACCAGCUUAAAUGACCAUGGCUGUACAUGUGGCCUCUGAAGUCCGAAGUGUUUUCCUGCUGCACAUGGCCCUCUUGGAAAGAGUUGUCAGCCCUCUUGACCGUGAGCACCUCGGACUGUGGCCUUGUGUCCUCUCACAGCCCUGAGGCUGACCUCUGCAGCGCACACUUUUCACCCCAUGCCUGUCUGCUGCCUGCCCAGGCCACAUUGACUUUUCUCACCAGUGACUUUCUGUAAAUUAUCUUCCUAACUCCUGACAGCUGGUAAUGUAACUUCCUAUGAAUUGCUGGUCCUGAACAGAGAAACCAACCAGUUCUAACUGAGGAGGGCAUUGUACUUGUGUAACAUCUUACAAGAAACUAUGAAGUCAAGUGUUGCUUUGAUCUUAGCAUGCUCGGGAUGAAUAAAGAUUAUGAUCGGAUUCUGCAAGACUGUUUACUGUUGCAUUACAGAAGAAUGUGCAUUAAGAUUGAUUAUCUUUGGUGGAGGAGAAAAAUACGGGGGAUUCUUAAAAGAUAAGUAAAGAGGUCGGGCUCAGUCCAAUGUUAAUGGAGAAACCAGUCCUUGAAUGGACGUUAUAAAGAACCAUUGCUUAGAAUAGUUGGAGGUUGAACUAUGUUUAUGGUAGAUAAUUGGGUGGUGGAGGGUAUGAUUCACUCCCAGAGGCCCUAGAUGAGUCAAAAGGAUUGCUAAUUAUGUCUUCUGUGCAGUUUGGGGCAUGGGUAAAAAUAUCUGGGGAUCAUGAUUGAUACCAGCAUGUGUAGAAAUAGGUCAAGAUGACAUCUCACUGACAGCAAGACAGCCCUGCGGAGAGGAGCCUUUUCUGUGUCUUUCAGGCCCUCCCCUGGUUCUCAUUCCACUCCCUUCAUCCCAGCUUACGCUCUCAUUACCUCGUGCUGUGAUGAUUGCAAGCGUCUCUUAACGCAUGCCUUUGCUCCCAGUCUCUCUCUCCUCCCCAGCAUUCCAUAGACGGAUGUCAGCUGAAUCUCCCUAAAACAUUUCUUUCAGCAUGCAUCCAUUAGCCGUGUGCUUUAACCUCCUAGGCCUCCAUCUCCUUGUCAGAAAGUGAGAAGAUGGGUUUCAGUUUAUUUUUCCAGUUCGAAAAUUUGUGUUCUGUGCUACUCCAAAGGGCUAUUUGUUUUUCGUUUGACAAGUUGUAUUGAGUGUGAAAUAUGUGCCAGGCAUGGUACCAUGCCCCCAAGGGUGAAAAGAGAAUGAAGGCUGAGCUCCCACUGUGGUGCCCAGGCCUCUUACAGUGGGCUGUGUCUUCUGUGCUCAACACCUUAAGCGUAUCACUCCCAUCUAUGUGUGUUUAUUUGUUUCUGAAGUCUUCACAUUUAUAACUUAAAGUUUAAAAAUACACAGAAAAAUUUAAGUUUGGGUGCUGAGGAGAAGACUGUAAUAGAAAAGUGCCUGCUGAUUGAGAUUGAGGUCUUGAGUCUGGUACCCAGAACCUAUGUUUCUAUUGCAGCAUGCAACUGACUCAACACGGUAAGCUUUAGGGAGCAGAUCUCUGAGGCUUACUGGCCAACCAGCCUAGCCAAUCAGUGACCUCCAGGUUUAGUGAGACACCCUGUCUUGGGUAAGGUGCAUAGGGACUGAGAAACACACUUUAGCCUCCAUAAUACAUAUGUAUACAUACAUACAUAUACAUAUAUAUAUCAUAUAUAUAUAUAUAUGAUAUAUAUAAGCACACAUAUAUACAUUCCCAUAUGCACAUUUGCACACUCUCAAGAACAUAAAUACCAUACACAUGUUGAAAGAUUAAAAAUUUUAAAUGUUGAUACAUAGAUGAAAUCAUUUUUACUAAAUAAAAUUUAAAUUUUAUUCAGAGGU
rnacentral:lncRNA from 1 species